UACGGGGGGGGGCAAGCGUUGUUCGGAAUUACUGGGCGUAAAGGGCCAGUAGGCGGCCAACUAAGUCCGACGUGAAAUCCCCCAGGCUUAACCUGGGAACUGCGUCGGAUACUGGAUGGCUUGAAUUCGGGAGAGGGAUGCAGAAUUCCAGGUGUAGCGGUGAAAUGCGUAGAUAUCUGGAGGAACACCGGUGGCGAAGGCGGCAUCCUGGACCGACACUGACGCUGAGGGAGCGAAAAGCCAGGGGAGCAACGGG
rnacentral:rRNA from 1 species